rnacentral:rRNA from 1 species
AUUGAACGCUGGCGGCAGGCCUAACACAUGCAAGUCGAACGAGUGGCGGACGGGUGAGUAAUGUCUGGGAAACUGCCUGAUGGAGGGGGCUAACUACUGGAACCGGUAGCUAAUACCGCAUACCAUCAGAUGGGCUCAGAUGGGUUUAGCUAGUUGGUGGGGUAACGGCUCACCAAGGCGACGAUCCCUAGCUGGUCUGAGAGGAUGACCAGCCACACUGGAACUGAGACACGGUCCAGACUCCUACGGGAGGCAGCAGUGGGGAAUAUUGCACAAUGGGCGCAAGCCUGAUGCAGCCAUGCCGCGUGUAUGAAGAAGGCCUUCGGGUUGUAAAGUACUUUCAGCGGGGAGGCGUUACCCGCAGAAGAAGCACCGGCUAACUCCGUGCCAGCAGCCGCGGUAAUUC